CCUACGGGAGGCAGCAGUGGGGAAUAUUGCGCAAUGGGCGAAAGCCUGACGCAGCGACGCCGCGUGAGGGAUGAAGGUCUUCGGAUCGUAAACCUCUGUCAGCAGGGAAGAACGGUCACUGUGCUAAUCAGCAGUGCAUUGACGGUACCUGCAAAGGAAGCACCGGCUAACUCCGUGCCAGCAGCCGCGGUAAUAGGGAGGGUGCGGGUGUUAAUCGGAAUUACUGGGCGUAAAGCGCGCGUAGGCGGUAUGUCAAGUCAAGGGUGAAAUCCCGGGGCUCAACGUGGGAACUGCCUCUGAAACUGGCAAACUGGAGUGUGUGAGAGGAUAGUGGAAUUCGAGGUGUAGGAGUGAAAUGCGUAGAUAUCGGGAGGAACACCAGUGGCGAAGGCGACUAUCUGGCACAUAACUGACGCUGAGGAGCGAAAGCGUGGGUAGCAAACAGGAUUAGAUACCCCAGUAGUC
rnacentral:rRNA from 1 species